AAUGAACGCUGGCGGCAGGCCUAACACAUGCAAGUCGAACGGAUCCUUCGGGAUUAGUGGCAGACGGGUGAGUAACGCGUGGGAACAUACCCAAAGGUACGGAAUAGCCUCGGGAAACUGGGAGUAAUACCGUAUGUGCUCGAAAGAGGAAAGAUUUAUCGCCUUUGGAUUGGCCCGCGUUGGAUUAGGUAGUUGGUGGGGUAAUGGCCUACCAAGCCGACGAUCCAUAGCUGGUUUGAGAGGAUGAUCAGCCACACUGGGACUGAGACACGGCCCAGACUCCUACGGGAGGCAGCAGUGGGGAAUCUUAGACAAUGGGGGAAACCCUGAUCUAGCCAUGCCGCGUGAUCGUUGAAGGCCUUAGGGUUGUAAAGAUCUUUCAGGUGGGAAGAUAAUGACUGUACCACCAGAAGAAGCCCCGGCUAACUCCGUGCCAGCCGCCGCAGUAA
rnacentral:rRNA from 1 species